rnacentral:rRNA from 1 species
GGACCCGCACAAGCGGUGGAUGAUGUGGUUUAAUUCGAUGCAACGCGAAAAACCUUACCUACCCUUGACAUGCCAGGAAUCCCGCAGAGAUGUGGGAGUGCUCGAAAGAGAACCUGGACACAGGUGCUGCAUGGCCGUCGUCAGCUCGUGUCGUGAGAUGUUGGGUUAAGUCCCGCAACGAGCGCAACCCUUAUCAUUAGUUGCUACGCAAGGGCACUCUAAUGAGACUGCCGGUGACAAACCGGAGGAAGGUGGGGAUGACGUCAGGUCAUCAUGGCCCUUAUGGGUAGGGCUACACACGUCAUACAAUGGCCGGUACAGAGGGCUGCCAACCCGCGAGGGGGAGCUAAUCUCAGAAAACCGGUCGUAGUCCGGAUCGCAGUCUGCAACUCGACUGCGUGAAGUCGGAAUCGCUAGUAAUCGCGGAUCAGAAUGUCGCGGUGAAUACGUUCCCGGGUCUU